rnacentral:tRNA from 2 species
CCGGGUGUGGCGCAGCUGGUAGCGCGCUUGACUGGGGGUCAAGAGGCCGCAGGUUCAAGUCCUGUCACUCGGACCA